AUGUUUAACGCACGACAAAUUUCUGCACCCAAAUUUUGCACAGCAAGCAUACCAAUUUGCAAAAUUAAAUUUACUGUACUUCCCGUGCAUGUCAUAUAUAUUAUGACAGCAUCAAUAUAUUUCUUUGUGCUAGCCGUGUUUUCUGAUUUUAUUAGUGGCAUAUGUCUGUAUUGCAGUGAUUAUUUUGCUUCAACCAUUGUCAUUAUGUGCUUCUUUUAUUGUACAAACGUUGUGUUUCAACCACUACACCUAUGUGCUUCGGUCAAUGUGUGCUGCUUCUUGGGUGAUUUUUUUUUGUUUCAUCGACAUUUCUAUUAG
rnacentral:rRNA from 1 species